UGCGGUUAAAAAGCUCGUAGUUGGAUCUCGGCAGGUAGGGGGCGGUUCGUUUCUGACGGCACUGCCCCAUUUACCUGUGUUUUUGACGGAGGUUUCACGGUGAUUUUCAUCGAUUGUCGUGAUACGCCGUCAGGUUUACUUUGAAAAAAUUAGAGUGCUCAAAGCAGGCUACAAGCUUGAAUAUUUGUGCAUGGAAUAAUGGUAUAGGAAGUCGUUUCUAUUUUUUUGGUUUUCGGAAAUUGACUUAAUGAUUAAUAGGGACAGCCGGGGGCAUUCGUACUCAGACGACAGAGGUGAAAUUCUUGGACCGUCUGAGGACGAGCUACUGCGAAAGCAUUUGCCAAGAGUGUUUUCAUUAAUCAAGAACGAAAGUUAGAGGUUCGAAGGCGAUCAGAUACCGCCCUGGUUCUAACCAUAAACGAUGCUGACUAGCGAUCCGUAUCUGUUUUCUAUGU
rnacentral:rRNA from 1 species